UUUGGCUAAUAGGGGGUCUCUGGAAGACCCUUAAGAUCUGUCUGUAAGAGAAAAGGAACCCUGGCAAUUCACAAGACAACUCAGCAGCAUUGCAUCUGCUCCUAGGGCAGGUAACAAAUUCCAGUUUUGAAUUUUGCUCUAAACAGUUAAGGAGAUAAUCAAGUCAGCUUGGGAUUGGGUUGUGCACAGGAAGGCUGCAAAAAGAUUACAAAAUAGCCUCCCCCUGGCAGAAAUGUAAAAAAGCCAUUCCAUGAUUUUUUUUUUUUUUUUCAGUUCUGCCAACGAUUUAUCUUCAGAAGACAAGCAGAUGAGGAGACAAAACCUACUGAUGUGGGUACCCAAGCAGGAACCCCCCUCUUGCACCGGCGACUCACGUGGGAAGAAGGUAGUGGCUGGCAUUAUGGAUUAAUUACUUAAUACACCUUUGUUGCCUUAGAAUUCACUGAGCUGAAAUGGAGUGAGAGCUAAGAUGCUCUCAGAAUAUUCUUAAAAUGACUGUGCUGCAAAGAAGCCUGGGUGAGUAGAAGAAAAUAAAAGGAAUGGUGGAUACAAGUGAAGGUUAAAAUGAAGUAGGAACUAAAUAUUAUAUUGGCAUUUGGGGUUAGCGUUUAUGAAUUGUUACUUUCUGGCAAUGCUCUACUCUUUUGUAUCUUCGUUGGGACAGAAAAUUCGGUAAGAAAGACCUUUCCAGGAAGAGCUUGUCCCUAAGAUUAUAGGCUCAGGGUUUGAACAAAGCGUCUCUUCCAAGACCUUGUGAAUAAUAUGCAUAUAGUCCACAUAACUUCACAAAGUAAAGUUAAACGAAUGCAUUCUUUUCUUGCUAUUAAACCCCAUUUAUCGCACUAGCUGCUGGUGAUUUGAGCGCUCCUUUCCAAGCCUCUUGAGAGUUCUGCUCUAACAACACUGCCCCCUAGUGUUCUCUCGCUUUGGUGCAACACCUGUAAUCAGCUAUUUCUUCAGGGAGCCUUUGAUUCCUUUUAGUGGAAAAUGGCUGCUCCAUGAACUGUUUGCUACCAAGCUAUGAUGACUUGUGAAUAGAAAGCAACAACAACAACAACAAGACACAUUUAGAAACAUUUAAGGUUUUCUGAUGCACUAUACAGUUGACCUUUGAAGAACACAGGUUUGAACUGCAUGGAUCCACUUACAAGUAGAUUUUCUUCUGCCUCUCCCCGGCUGCCGCCACCCCGAGACAGCAAGACCAGACCCAUCUCUUCUUCCUCCUCAGCCUACUCAACGUGAGGAUAUGGAUAAAGACCUUUAUGAUGACCCACUCCACUUCCAUGCAGGUUUCUCAUACUUCUUGGAGAAACAGAAAGCACCAGAUGACAGCCAUCACACACUUUUGUCCCCAUUGCAAUAGGAUGCUUCUAACAAUCGUAAAAUUAUGAAACACUGAAUUCCUUAAAAGUUGUCCAUUUGUGGAUUUAUCUGAUGAUGGAGUCUUGCUCUUGUUGCCCAGGCUGGAGCGGAGUGGCAUGAUCUGGACUCACUGCAACCUCCACCUCCCAGGUUCAAGCGAUACUCCUGCCUCAGCCUCCUGAGUAGCUGGGACUACAGGCGUGUGCCACCACGCCCAGCUAAUUUCUGUAUUUUUUGUAAAGACAGGGUUUCACCAUGUUGGCCAGAUGGUCUCAAUCUCUUGACCUCGUGAUCUGCCCACCUCGGCCUACUUAGCCAACUUUUAAGGACAAGUCCAGGCGUCCUUAUCCUUCACAGCAAAUAACAAACAUAGUGAUUAGUGGGGGUGAAGAGAUGUUGGUCAAGGGGUACGAAAGUACAGUCAGAUAAAAGGAACGUGUUCUAGUCUUUGACAGAAUACUAGGGAAAUUAUAGUUAACAAAAAUUUAUUGUACACUUCAAAGUAGCUGGAAGCAAAGAACUGUAAGGUCCCCAACACAAAGAAAAGAUAAAUGUUUAGGGUGAUAAUAUCUCAAUUACUCUGAUUUGGUCAUUACACAUUGUAUGCAGGUAUCAAAAUAUCACAUAUCCCCC